rnacentral:rRNA from 1 species
UUAAGCGACUAAGCGUACACGGUGGAUGCCCUGGCAGUCAGAGGCGAUGAAGGACGUGCUAAUCUGCGAUAAGCGUCGGUGAGGUGAUAUGAACCGUUAUAACCGGCGAUUUCCGAAUGGGGAAACCCAGUGUGUUUCGACACACUAUCAUUAACUGAAUCCAUAGGUUAAUGAGGCGAACCGGGGGAACUGAAACAUCUAAGUACCCCGAGGAAAAGAAAUCAACCGAGAUUCCCCCAGUAGCGGCGAGCGAACGGGGAGGAGCCCAGAGCCUGAAUCAGUGUGUGUGUUAGUGGAAGCGUCUGGAAAGGCGCGCGAUACAGGGUGACAGCCCCGUACACAAAAAUGCACAUACUGUGAGCUCGAUGAGUAGGGCGGGACACGUGGUAUCCUGUCUGAAUAUGGGGGGACCAUCCUCCAAGGCUAAAUACUCCUGACUGACCGAUAGUGAACCAGUACCGUGAGGGAAAGGCGAAAAGAACCCCGGCGAGGGGAGUGAAAAAGAACCUGAAACCGUGUACGUACAAGCAGUGGGAGCCUCUUAAUGGGGUGACUGCGUACCUUUUGUAUAAUGGGUCAGCGACUUAUAUUCUGUAGCAAGGUUAACCGAAUAGGGGAGCCGAAGGGAAACCGAGUCUUAACUGGGCGUUAAGUUGCAGGGUAUAGACCCGAAACCCGGUGAUCUAGCCAUGGGCAGGUUGAAGGUUGGGUAACACUAACUGGAGGACCGAACCGACUAAUGUUGAAAAAUUAGCGGAUGACUUGUGGCUGGGGGUGAAAGGCCAAUCAAACCGGGAGAUAGCUGGUUCUCCCCGAAAGCUAUUUAGGUAGCGCCUCGUGAAUUCAUCUCCGGGGGUAGAGCACUGUUUCGGCAAGGGGGUCAUCCCGACUUACCAACCCGAUGCAAACUGCGAAUACCGGAGAAUGUUAUCACGGGAGACACACGGCGGGUGCUAACGUCCGUCGUGAAGAGGGAAACAACCCAGACCGCCAGCUAAGGUCCCAAAGUCAUGGUUAAGUGGGAAACGAUGUGGGAAGGCCCAGACAGCCAGGAUGUUGGCUUAGAAGCAGCCAUCAUUUAAAGAAAGCGUAAUAGCUCACUGGUCGAGUCGGCCUGCGCGGAAGAUGUAACGGGGCUAAACCAUGCACCGAAGCUGCGGCAGCGACACUAUGUGUUGUUGGGUAGGGGAGCGUUCUGUAAGCCGUUGAAGGUGGCCUGUGAGGGUUGCUGGAGGUAUCAGAAGUGCGAAUGCUGACAUAAGUAACGAUAAAGCGGGUGAAAAGCCCGCUCGCCGGAAGACCAAGGGUUCCUGUCCAACGUUAAUCGGGGCAGGGUGAGUCGACCCCUAAGGCGAGGCCGAAAGGCGUAGUCGAUGGGAAACAGGUUAAUAUUCCUGUACUUGGUGUUACUGCGAAGGGGGGACGGAGAAGGCUAUGUUGGCCGGGCGACGGUUGUCCCGGUUUAAGCGUGUAGGCUGGUUUUCCAGGCAAAUCCGGAAAAUCAAGGCUGAGGCGUGAUGACGAGGCACUACGGUGCUGAAGCAACAAAUGCCCUGCUUCCAGGAAAAGCCUCUAAGCAUCAGGUAACAUCAAAUCGUACCCCAAACCGACACAGGUGGUCAGGUAGAGAAUACCAAGGCGCUUGAGAGAACUCGGGUGAAGGAACUAGGCAAAAUGGUGCCGUAACUUCGGGAGAAGGCACGCUGAUAUGUAGGUGAAGCGACUUGCUCGUGGAGCUGAAAUCAGUCGAAGAUACCAGCUGGCUGCAACUGUUUAUUAAAAACACAGCACUGUGCAAACACGAAAGUGGACGUAUACGGUGUGACGCCUGCCCGGUGCCGGAAGGUUAAUUGAUGGGGUUAGCGGUAACGCGAAGCUCUUGAUCGAAGCCCCGGUAAACGGCGGCCGUAACUAUAACGGUCCUAAGGUAGCGAAAUUCCUUGUCGGGUAAGUUCCGACCUGCACGAAUGGCGUAAUGAUGGCCAGGCUGUCUCCACCCGAGACUCAGUGAAAUUGAACUCGCUGUGAAGAUGCAGUGUACCCGCGGCAAGACGGAAAGACCCCGUGAACCUUUACUAUAGCUUGACACUGAACAUUGAGCCUUGAUGUGUAGGAUAGGUGGGAGGCUUUGAAGUGUGGACGCCAGUCUGCAUGGAGCCGACCUUGAAAUACCACCCUUUAAUGUUUGAUGUUCUAACGUGGGCCCCUUACCGGGGUUGCGGACAGUGUCUGGUGGGUAGUUUGACUGGGGCGGUCUCCUCCUAAAGAGUAACGGAGGAGCACGAAGGUUGGCUAAUCCUGGUCGGACAUCAGGAGGUUAGUGCAAUGGCAUAAGCCAGCUUGACUGCGAGCGUGACGGCGCGAGCAGGUGCGAAAGCAGGUCAUAGUGAUCCGGUGGUUCUGAAUGGAAGGGCCAUCGCUCAACGGAUAAAAGGUACUCCGGGGAUAACAGGCUGAUACCGCCCAAGAGUUCAUAUCGACGGCGGUGUUUGGCACCUCGAUGUCGGCUCAUCACAUCCUGGGGCUGAAGUAGGUCCCAAGGGUAUGGCUGUUCGCCAUUUAAAGUGGUACGCGAGCUGGGUUUAGAACGUCGUGAGACAGUUCGGUCCCUAUCUGCCGUGGGCGCUGGAGAACUGAGGGGGGCUGCUCCUAGUACGAGAGGACCGGAGUGGACGCAUCACUGGUGUUCGGGUUGUCAUGCCAAUGGCACUGCCCGGUAGCUAAAUGCGGAAGAGAUAAGUGCUGAAAGCAUCUAAGCACGAAACUUGCCCCGAGAUGAGUUCUCCCUGA